CAACAUAGACAGGUGCAGACAGGUCUCAAACACGUCUUUAGUGGCAUAUCUAGAGACCCAAGUAGUCACUAAAUAGCGAAGUUAAACGAUACACUAUAUCCUUGCAAGAAGAGAAAGAGUACAAGGCAUCAAGUGGAGUUUGUUUUGAAUGUAAUGCGAUUUCGUAUGUAUACCCUGUUUCUUUCAUUCGGGCUCUAAAAUUGUAUUCAUACAAUUAAAAAUUUUUUAAUGGGUGAGUUUGCAUGAUUGUUUGAAAACAGUAGAACAAGCAAUUUUGUUCGACGUUGAAGCCAUUUUUUAGAAACUAGAUAACGAUACAAACAAUUAAGAACAUAGUAUUGUAGUAAGUUUACUGUGUAAUGCGACUAUAAAUGAUCUCGGUAGUAGCAAAAACAAAAACUACGUUAAUGAAU